AUUGAACGCUGGCGGCAGGCCUAACACAUGCAAGUCGAGCGAGCGGCGGACGGGUGAGUAAUGUAUGGGGACUGCCCGCUAGUGGGGGAUAACUACUGGAAACGGUAUCUCUUACCGCAUACUAUCGGAUGACGCAUAUGUGAUUAGCUAGUAGGUGAGGGAAUGGCUCACCUAGAGGACGAUCCCUAGCUGGUCUGAGAGGAUGAUCAGCCAGACUGGAACUGAGAGACGGGCCAGACUCCUGCGGAGGCAGCAGUGGGGAAUAGGGCGCAAUGGGCGCAAGCCUGAUGCAUCAAUGAGGCGUGGAUGAAGAAGGCCCUAGGGUUGUAAAGUACUUUCAGUCGGGAGGCGGUACCGGCAGAAGAAGCACCGGCUAACUCCGUGCCAGCAGCCGCGGUAAUUC
rnacentral:rRNA from 1 species